AUCUUGCAUUUUAAAAAGCAGGGCAGGGCAGGGAAAGCUAAUGGAGCCUCCCUGGGUCUUCUCUGCUUUCUGCCCACUCCACUGAAAGUCCCUUUCGUUCGAAGUCACCAGGAGUACAGCCCCCGCUGACCUUUUGAGGGUCUUCCACUCACUUGUCAUUUCAACAGACCCAGGACCCUGGAACUUAAGAAGGGGUGAAGAGUCCCACCGUUCCAUGGUCUGCUGACUGCCCUGUGCUGCUCCCAGGCAGAAGGGAGAGGGGAAUACAGAAGUGAAAGCAGAAACCAAAACCAAAACCAAACCACGGGUUCACAAAUCAGGAACAAGACCUGCCUGCUGGCUCCGCUGCGGGCCUGGCGUCCGCUCCCACGGAGGAGGGAAGCAGGAAGCUGCUGGGGCUCCUGCCCAGCACAGUGGAGGGUGGGCUGGGCCCUGGGGCCGGCACCCGUGCAGCCCACCCGGGGACAGGUCCAAAGUCCCUCCCGGUCUCAGAGCCUCUCUUGAGCGUUCUCCUCGCUCGUGGCACCUGCUUCUAGGUCUUCUCCUCUCGGUCUGUUUUUCUCCUUGUUAUGUUCCUAGGUUUGAUUUUCAGAGAGAGUUCCCACAGAGCCUCCUCCGCCAGGUGGUCACUGAAGUCAUUGAAGAAGUUUAUGAUGUCAUCGUUUCUUCGGAUAUCAUAGUGCCUGGGGGGGGGCCUCCAGUCAGGGCCAGCAGGGGCCAGAAGCCUCCCCGAGGGGCCACGUGCAUCAUCCCAGCUACCGGAGCAGACCCUGGACAGUGGGGCUCCUCAUAGGGGGAGGGCUUGCUGCAGCAUUCUGGAUGCCCUUCUACAUGCUGCCCCAGGAAGACCCCAUCUCGCAGGCCCAUGUCCUGCAGGCUCCCAGUAUGUAGUGUGCAGAGAACAGGCUAGGCUGGCCACCAUCUCGGGGUGCAGACCCCAUUCCUCUGCCAUGCCCCCCUCACUCCUUCAUCACCUCCCCUCUCUCUGCUUGGGGGCCAGGUGCUGAGGGCUCCGGUGUGGCCCAGCCCUGCCCCACAGGUGGCAAUACUCACGCUUGUUGGAAGCACCGCAUGCUGUCCAGAAUGUUGAACUGUUGCCACCGUUUGGAAAAAUUCACCUUCCCGUCAAUAUAGUCUGGGUUUCCCAGGUGAACAAAGGUGCUUCUCACUAAAGAGGAUGUGAAGCCAUAGGCUGGCUUGCCAGGGGCCAGGUGGGCCUCCCGCCUCCUCCCUCCCAGCCACUCACCUCCGAGGUCUGCUUCUGCCACUCUAGCCUGCGGAUGGGAGCUGAGUCCAGUGCCGAGAGGAUGGCCAGGUAGGAGUUAAAGUUGUUCAGCUUCCGUAAGUGCUACAGAGAGAGGUGAGGAGGCCGUGAGGUAGGCCUGGGGUCUCUGAGCAGGGCCUGAAGGAGCAGACUCUGGGGAGG